UAUUGGACGCAGUGAGCGUCCAACUGGAAGGUGCGGAUUUGCAGGCCUCAAACCCAACGCUGCUGCUUAUUCCUACACCCGAGAGACCGGCCCAUAGUGCCCAAACACCCACGACUUUACACUCACGAAGGAUUGUUUCCUACUAUUAGUCUACUAGGUAUCAUGCCUUCUCCCGCUAGGAUCGGAAAUUCUUAUAAUGCCCUAAAGCCGCUAGUUGCAACAAGCACUUCAAACCGGGUCGCAAUUGCCUGAUCAAGUGCGCCGCCACUUUGGCGAUCCGGCCGCCGCCUUGUUUCCCCUCUUCCUGCGAUUCGGCCGCCGCCCUGGCUUCCCCUCCUCCCGCGACCCGGCGGCCGCCCUGGCUUCCCCUCCUCCCGCGACCCGGCCGCCGCCUUGGCUUCCCCUGCUCCUGCGGUCCGGCCGCCGCCUCUUGGCUUCCCCUUCUCCUGCGAUCCGGCCGCGCCUUGGCUGCAGUCCGCUUGAUAUCUCUACGCAUCGGACGAGGUCAAGCGAGCAGACCAGCUGCCCAUCUGGCUGCUGCAAAGUCGCGCCUCAGGUUUUACGCUGUAUUCCUGGUUCAACGAUUUUGAUCAUGGAUCAGCUUUACCGCAGGAUCAGUAGAAGCAUUGUUAAGAUAGCGAUUGGGCGUUCCUUUUAUCAUGGCUUUGUUUCUGAUAUCAUGCCACGGCUCACUGUAAUGGCAAGUGCGGCCUCAUUUCUAACGCCAUUGGAAAAUUACGAACUCCUCCUGCAUUUUCCAGAUAAAGUUCUUUUACCCUGCAGCAAGCGCUAUCCAAAUCACAGACGGUAUUGCUGUAAUACAAUGCCAUGGAGAGGAGGUUGAUGCAGAUCUGGUGGAGGCACUUCAAGUAUCUGAAGAACCAAUUUCAAUAUCUGAAGAAGUGUAUACAUAUAAUGCUUACGAGGAGGGCAUAGAAAGCACCAUAACCAAAGGUUAUGUAAUUUCAAUACACGAGAAUUCGUUCUUCCACAGCUGCUCUGCCGGUUCAACUUCGCAUCUGGGAGCAUUGGUCAUUAACAAAGGCGGUCAAUUGGUUGGCUUGUGUACUGGGUUUGAUCGCCACCUAAUUGCUAGAGAAAUGUCUGCACUAGCAUAAGCAGAUCCUGAUUACAAAUACCCAACAGAAGACUGUUAAGGAGAACCAUUUGUAGAUGGGCAAGCUGUUCCUUAGGACCCCGAAUACCACAAGGAGUGGGUGAGAAACACUCCUUUUGGCAACCGGUGUACUCAGAGCCGUCCCAACUUUGAAAGGAGAAGGUAUAACACGUGUACAGUCCUACCUGUGUGGGCCUGAUCCACCAAGUUAUCAGUAACCCAAGCUACGAAUGCAGCGGCAACUACAACAACACCGCCCCACCUGCUUACGAAGGCAGGAACGGGCCAGGGAGGCAUUACCAAUAGAGAUCACUGCUAGAAGAUUGCCGUAGGAAAGUUAGUACGGAUUUUUUUGCAUAUAUUCUCUAUCCAUACCAGUGUUCUGAGAAAUAUAAUUACUAAAGCUUAGGCAAUUGCUCUCUUUUUUCUCUCUUUGUUGAAAUAAAUACAGUGUUGACUAAAUUUUCGUGUGGAGCCAGGGUAAACAAGUGCCUCAU